UACGGGGGGGGGCAAGCGUUUGUUCGGAAUUACUGGGCGUAAAGGGCUCGUAGGCGGCCAACUAAGUCGGAUGUGAAAUCCCCAGGCUCAACUUGGGAACUGCAUCCGAUACUGGAUGGCUUGAAUCCGGGAGAGGGAUGCAGAAUUCCAGGUGUAGCGGUGAAAUGCGUAGAUAUCUGGAGGAACACCGGUGGCGAAGGCGGCAUCCUGGGCCGGUAUUGACGCUGAGGCACGAAAGCGUGGGGAGCAAACAGG
rnacentral:rRNA from 1 species